AUGAUUUCCACAACUCGAAGAUAC
rnacentral:siRNA from 1 species